AUUGCCUCAGUAACGGCGAGUGAAGCGGCAACAGCUCAAAUUUGAAAGCUGGCUCUCGGGCCCGCGUUGUAAUUUGCAGAGGAUGCUUCGGGUGCAGUGCCGGUCUAAGUUCCCUGGAACAGGACGUCAUAGAGGGUGAGAAUCCCGUAUGUGACUGGUGGCGUGCGCCUGUGUGAAGCUCCUUCGACGAGUCGAGUUGUUUGGGAAUGCAGCUCUAAUCGGGUGGUGUACUUCAUCUAAAGCUAAAUACCGGCCAAAGACCGAUAGCGCACAAGUAGAGUGAUCGAAAGAUGAAAAGCACUUUGAAAAGAGAGUUAAACAGUACGUGAAAUUGUUGAAAGGGAAGCGUUUGCAAUCAGACUUGUACAGCGCUGAUCAGCCUGGGUUCUCCCUGGUGCACUCGGCGCUGCGCAGGCCAGCAUCAGUUUCAGCGGCUGGAUAAAGGCCUAGGGAAUGUGAGUUGCUUCGGCGACUGUUAUAGCCCUAGGCGCCAUGCAGCCUGUGGGGACUGAGGACCGCGCUUCGGCUAGGAUGCUGGCGUAAUGGUUACAAACGACCCGUCUUGAAACACGGACCAAGGAGUCUAACAUCUAUGCGAGUGUUUGGGCGUCAAACCCAUAUGCGGAAUGAAAGUGAACGGAGGUGAGAACCCUUAAGGGUGCAUCAUCGACCGAUCCUGAUGUCUUCGGAUGGAUUUGAGUAAGAGCAUAGCUGUUGGGACCCGAAAGGUUAGUGCUCUCUCCCUCCCCUUCUUUUGAUUACAUAAUACUAACAGUGAAUUUUAGAUGGUGAACUAUGCCUGAAUAGGGUGAAGCCAGAGGAAACUCUGGUGGAGGCUCGCAGCGGUUCUGACGUGCAAAUCGAUCGACAAAUUUGGGUAUAGGGGCGAAAGACUAAUCGAACCAUCAGGCUACCCUAGGUGGUUGAGAGGCCUGCGAGGCCUAGUCGUUUAGGCGGCAAUACUGCAAAAUUGCGGGGACUGCUCGAGAGCUGUAGGCUACCACAGCAGGCUCGAAAGGGCCUGCCACGGUCACAAGGCCUGACAGCUGAGCUGAUCCGCAACCCUAGCCUAAGGCUGCAUCUCCUCUUUGGGGCAGCGAUGGCGGAGGGCUCAUCGACUAGAUGGCAGUAGGUAGAGGGGGCGUCUCCCCCCUAGCUUAAGGGAUAGUCAGCCUGCAGCGGGGAU
rnacentral:rRNA from 1 species